rnacentral:rRNA from 1 species
AGUGAACGCUGGCGGCAGGCCUAACACAUGCAAGUCGAACGGUAGCACAGUAAGAGCUUGUUCUUACGGGUGGCGAGUGGCGGACGGGUGAGGAACACAUCGGAAUCUACUUUUUCGUGGGGGAUAACGUAGGGAAACUUACGCUAAUACCUCAUACGACCUACGGGUGAAAGCAGGGGAUCUUCGGACCUUGCGCGAUUGAAUGAGCCGAUGUCGGAUUAGCUAGUUGGCGGGGUAAAGGCCCACCAAGGCGACGAUCCGUAGCUGGUCUGAGAGGAUGAUCAGCCACACUGGAACUGAGACACGGUCCAGACUCCUACGGGAGGCAGCAGUGGGGAAUAUUGGACAAUGGGCGCAAGCCUGAUCCAGCCAUACCGCGUGGGUGAAGAAGGCCUUCGGGUUGUAAAGCCCUUUUGUUGGGAAAGAAAAGCAGCAGGUUAAUACCCCGCUGUUCUGACGGUACCCAAAGAAUAAGCACCGGCUAACUUCGUG